UACGUAGGGGGCAAGCGUUGUCCGGAAUCAUUGGGCGUAAAGCGCGUGUAGGCGGCCCGGUAAGUCCGCUGUGAAAGUCGGGGGCUCAACCCUCGGAUGCCGGUGGAUACUGUCGGGCUAGAGUGCGGGAGAGGCGAGUGGAAUUCCUGGUGUAGCGGUGAAAUGACGCAGAUAUCAGGAGGAACACCAAUUGCGAAGGCAGCUCGCUGGAACGUUACUGACGCUGAGACGCGAAAGCGUGGGGAGCAAACAGG
rnacentral:rRNA from 1 species